rnacentral:rRNA from 1 species
GUGCCUACGGGACGCAGCAGUGGGGAAUAUUGCACAAUGGGCGCAAGCCUGAUGCAGCGACGCCGCGUGAGCGAAGAAGUAUUUCGGUAUGUAAAGCUCUAUCAGCAGGGAAGAAAAUGACGGUACCUGACUAAGAAGCUCCGGCUAAAUACGAGCCAGCAGCCGCGGUAAUACGUAUGGAGUAAGCGUUAUCCGGAAUUACUGGGUGUAAAGGGAGCGUAGACGGAAGUGCAAGUCUGAUGUGAAAGGCGGGGGCCGAAC